AACGCGAAGAACCUUACCUGGGCUUGAACAGCCGGCGACCGGGGUGGAAACACCCUCUUCCCGCAAGGGACGCCGGUAGAGGUGCUGCAUGGCUGUCGUCAGCUCGUGUCGUGAGAUGUUGGGUUAAGUCCCGCAACGAGCGCAACCCUUAUCCUUAGUUGCCAGGGCCGGCUUGCCGGCGCCGCACUCUAGGGAAACCGCCUCGGAUAACGGGGAGGAAGGUGGGGAUGAUGUCAAGUCCUCAUGGCCUUUAUGUCCAGGGCUACACACGUGCUACAAUGGCCGGUACAGACCGUCGCAAACCCGCGAGGGGGAGCCAAUCGGAAAAAGCCGGCCUCAGUUCGGAUCGCAGUCUGCAACCCGACUGCGUGAAGCUGGAAUCGCUAGUAAUCGCGGAUCAGCACGCCGCGGUGAAUACGUUCCCGGGCCUUGUACACACCGACAUA
rnacentral:rRNA from 1 species